GACGAACGCUGGCGGCGUGCUUAACACAUGCAAGUCGAGCGGUAAGGCCUCUUCGGGGGUACACGAGCGGCGCACGGGUGCGUAACACGUGGGUGACCUGCCCUCAUCUCUGGGAUAAGCCUGGGAAACUGGGUCUAAUACCGGAUAUGACCUUUCCUCGCAUGGGGUUUGGUGGAAAGUUUUUUCGGCUGGGGAUGGGCCCGCGGCCUAUCAGCUUGUUGGUGGGGUGAUGGCCUACCAAGGCGACGACGGGUAGCCGGCCUGAGAGGGCGACCGGCCACACUGGGACUGAGACACGGCCCAGACUCCUACGGGAGGCAGCAGUGGGGAACAUUGCGCAAUGGGCGGAAGCCUGACGCAGCGACGCCGCGUGGGGGAUGACGGCCUUCGGGUUGUAAACCUCUUUCGACCCCGACGAAUUUGGACGGUAGGGGUAGAAGAAGCACCGGCCAACUACGUG
rnacentral:rRNA from 1 species